rnacentral:rRNA from 1 species
AGAAUCAACGCUGGCGGCGUGCCUAACACAUGCAAGUCGAACGAGAAAGGGGAGCAAUCCCUGAGUACAGUGGCGACCGGGUGAGUAACACGUGACUAACCUACCCUCGAGUGUGGAAUAACAUCGGGAAACCGAUGCUAAUACCGCAUAACAUCGCAAGAUCAAAGGAGUAAUCCGCUUGAGGAGGGGGUCGCGGCUGAUUAGCUAGUUGGCGGGGUAACGGCCCACCAAGGCGAAGAUCGGUA